rnacentral:tRNA from 5 species
UAGGAUGUCGUCUAAAGGAAAGACAUCAUUUUUUGGUAAUGAGAAUGGUUGUUCGAUUCAACCCAUCCUAG